UACGAAGGGGGCGAGCGUUGUUCGGAAUCACUGGGCGUAAAGGGCGCGUAGGCGGCCCUCCUUGUCGCGUGUGAAAGCCCCGGGCUCAACCUGGGAACGGCGCGCGAGACGGGGGGGCUGGAGUUCGGGAGAGGAGCGUGGAAUUCCCAGUGUAGAGGUGAAAUUCGUAGAUAUUGGGAAGAACACCGGUGGCGAAGGCGGCCCCCUGGACCGGUACUGACGCUGAGGCGCGAAAGCGUGGGUAGCAAACGGG
rnacentral:rRNA from 1 species